ACGAACGCUGGCGGCGUGCUUAACACAUGCAAGUCGAACGGAAAGGCCCUGCUUUUGUGGGGUGCUCGAGUGGCGAACGGGUGAGUAACACGUGAGUAACCUGCCCUUGACUUUGGGAUAACUUCAGGAAACUGGGGCUAAUACCGGAUAGGAGCUCCUGCUGCAUGGUGGGGGUUGGAAAGUUUCGGCGGUUGGGGAUGGACUCGCGGCUUAUCAGCUUGUUGGUGGGGUAGUGGCUUACCAAGGCUUUGACGGGUAGCCGGCCUGAGAGGGUGACCGGCCACAUUGGGACUGAGAUACGGCCCAGACUCCUACGGGAGGCAGCAGUGGGGAAUAUUGCACAAUGGGAGGAAGCCUGAUGCAGCAACGCCGCGUGCGGGAUGACGGCCUUCGGGUUGUAAACCGCUUUCGCCUGUGACGAAGCGUGAGUGACGGUAAUGGGUAAAGAAGCACCGGCUAACUACGUG
rnacentral:rRNA from 1 species